rfam:Gossypium raimondii Chr09_contig_1748, whole genome shotgun sequence.
AUUAGAGUGGUGCAGUGGAAGCGCGGUAGACCCAUAACCCACAAAUCCUAGGAUCAAAACUUAGCUUUGAUA